rnacentral:rRNA from 1 species
CAACCGCCCGUCACACCCACGAAAGCCCAUUGUACCAGAAGUCGGUGAGCUAACUCCGCAAGGGGAGGCAACUGCCCAAGGUAUGAUUGGUGAGUUGGGUG